rnacentral:rRNA from 1 species
AUUGAACGCUGGCGGAAUGCCUAACACAUGCAAGUCGAAUGCACCGCAAGGUGAGUGGCGCACGGGUGAGUAACACGUGGGAAUGUAUCCUUUGGUUCGGAAUAACGUCUGGAAACGGACGCUAAUACCGGAUGAGCCCUUAGGGGGAAAGAUUUAUCGCCGAAGGAGCAGCCCGCGUCUGAUUAGGUAGUUGGUGGGGUAAAGGCCUACCAAGCCGACGAUCAGUAGCUGGUCUGAGAGGAUGAUCAGCCACACUGGGACUGAGACACGGCCCAGACUCCUACGGGAGGCAGCAGUGGGGAAUAUUGGACAAUGGGCGCAAGCCUGAUCCAGCCAUGCCGCGUGGGUGAUGAAGGCCUUCGGGUUGUAAAGCUCUUUCGCACACGACGAUGAUGACGGUAGUGUGAGAAGAAGCCCCGGCUAACUUCGUGCCAGCAGCCGCGGUAA